GCCACGGCGGCAUCCCGAGGCCGCGGGCAGGUAAAGUGAGGCACCUUCCCAAGAGCGCAGGGUCAGGCCCCGCGGCGCCCGCCGGCCGUGGUCUAGGAGCUGAGAAACGAUACCCCUGCUGCGAUGGGCUCCGAGGGGAGACCCGAGAGCCAGGGGAGAGCCAGGGCUGUUCCCUGGAUUAAAGCUCAGCCUUGACCGUCCUGGCAGAAAACAGGAAGCGACCGCGCUGGCUCCCAGAGUAUGCAAGCUCCUUGUGGCCAGGGCUAGAGAGCUGUCCUCCCGGCCAGGCAGACCUGUCCUGGGCUCCUGCCCUGCUUCUGACACUUACUGACUGUGUGACCUUGGGCAAGUGACUUAACGUGUCGGGGCUCCUGGCGACUCUCCAAGACUGCCCAUCGCAGAGAAGAGAGCGCCAGGCCGCAUCUCUGGAGGGAUCUUUCUGUUCCUACAUUUAUGAACUCUCAGGACUAGUCCUGUUCCCUGCCCGGUCUUGGCCCCAGCAAACAAGAGCACAACCUCUGGUACCAGAGAAGAAAAGACAAGAACAAAAUGGGCCUGUCUGCAAUAUUCUUUGGAGGAGGAAAAAAAAAUGUGGUAAAGCUUCCAUGUGGCCAGUCUUCCUCAUCCUCCUGGACACGCUCCACUGGACACCCUUCAGCUGGUUACUUUCCUUCCUCAGAGAAAUGAGGCACUUCCUGUUUUGCUGACGGGGCUGAAGGACAAGUUGGAGCUUGACAAUCUUUCCAAGAAAGGAGAAGGGAGGAUGAUCUCCACAGGCUGGGUAGAUGCCCAGAAGGGAGGGGCAGCAAGGAGCUGCCUCUGUUGAGUCUCCUGCUCAGGGUGCACACGCAUGCAGCUGUUCAGAGUAGAAGGUCUGGUGUCAUGACAAAGGCUUCCAUGAAAGAGAGCCCAGAGUUCUGGGUUUGAGUUCUGCCUCUGCCACAUAGCCGCCAGGGUAUCUUGGGGAACACGGCCCAUCUCUGGCUGUCCAGUUCCCUGAGCAGAAAAUGAGGAGGUUGGACUAGGUCAUCCUGAAGUUCCCCCCAGCUCUGCAAGCUUGGCAGGGGCUCCA